CACUGUACGAGUUUGAUCCUGGCUCAGGAUGAACGCUAGCGGCAGGCUUAAUACAUGCAAGUCAAGGGGGUAGCAAUACAACCGGCGCACGGGUGAGUAACGCGUACACAACAUACCAUAUACUGGGGUAUAGCUUUGGGAAACUGAAGGUAAUCCCCCAUAAGAUUGCGAGAGGGCAUCUGAUAGCAAUUAAAGUUUCGGCGGUAUAUGAUUGGUGUGCGUUUGAUUAGCUAGUUGGUAGGGUAACGGCCUACCAAGGCGACGAUCAAUAGCUGGCGUGAGAGCGCGACCAGCCACACUGGAACUGAGACACGGUCCAGACUCCUACGGGAGGCAGCAGUAGGGAAUAUUGGACAAUGGGCGAAAGCCUGAUCCAGCCAUGCCGCGUGAUAGAUGAAGGCCCUCUGGGUUGUAAAUAUCUUUUAUCUGGGAAGAAACAAUCUUAUUCUUAAGAUCUUGACGGUACCAGAGGAAUAAGCACCGGCUAACUCCGUG
rnacentral:rRNA from 1 species